rnacentral:rRNA from 1 species
AACGAACGCUGGCGGCAGGCCUAAAACAUGCAAGUCGAACGCCCCGCAAGGGGAGUGGCGCACGGGUGAGUAACGCGUGGGAACGUGCCCUUCACUACGGGACAACGUCGGGAAACUGACGCUAAUACCGUAUAAUGACUCCGGUCCAAAGAUUUAUCGGUGAAGGAGCGGCCCGCGUCUGAUUAGCUAGUUGGUGAGGUAAGGGCUCACCAAGGCUACGAUCAGUAGCAGGUCUGAGAGGAUGAUCUGCCACACUGGGACUGAGACACGGCCCAGACGCCUACGGGAGGCAGCAGUUAGGAAUAUUGGACAAUGGGCGAAAGCCUGAUCCAGCCAUGCCGCGUGUGUGAUGAAGGCCCUAGGGUUGUAAAGCACUUUCGUUGAGGAAGAUAAUGACUGUACUCAAAGAAGAAGCACCGGCUAACUUCGUGCCAGCAGCCGCGGUAA